GACGAACGCUGGCGGCGUGCUUAACACAUGCAAGUCGAACGGAAAGGCCCUGCUUUUGUGGGGUGCUCGAGUGGCGAGCGGGUGAGUAACACGUGAGUAACCUGCCCUUGACUUUGGGAUAACUUCAGGAAACUGGGGCUAAUACUGGAUAGGAGCUCCUGCUGCAUGGUGGGGGUUGGAAAGUUUCGGCGGUUGGGGAUGGACUCGCGGCUUAUCAGCUUGUUGGUGGGGUAGUGGCUUACCAAGGCUUUGACGGGUAGCCGGCCUGAGAGGGUGACCGGCCACAUUGGGACUGAGAUACGGCCCAGACUCCUACGGGAGGCAGCAGUGGGGAAUAUUGCACAAUGGGCGGAAGCCUGAUGCAGCAACGCCGCGUGCGGGAUGACGGCCUUCGGGUUGUAAACCGCUUUCGCCUGUGACGAAGCGUGAGUGACGGUAAUGGGUAAAGAAGCACCGGCUAACUACGUG
rnacentral:rRNA from 1 species